rnacentral:tRNA from 1 species
GGGGUUGUGGCUCAGAGGUAGAGCACUCGCCUAGCAUGUGGGAGGCCCUGGGUUCGAUCCGCAGCACCA